rnacentral:rRNA from 2 species
GCUUGCUCCCGAUGAUUAGCGGCGGACGGGUGAGUAACACGUGGGCAACCUGCCUGUAAGACUGGGAUAACUCCGGGAAACCGGGGCUAAUACCGGAUAAUAUCUUUUUAUACAUAUAAUUAGAUUGAAAGAUGGUUCUGCUAUCACUUACAGAUGGGCCCGCGGCGCAUUAGCUAGUUGGUGAGGUAACGGCUCACCAAGGCGACGAUGCGUAGCCGACCUGAGAGGGUGAUCGGCCACACUGGGACUGAGACACGGCCCAGACUCCUACGGGAGGCAGCAGUAGGGAAUCUUCCGCAAUGGACGAAAGUCUGACGGAGCAACGCCGCGU